rnacentral:rRNA from 2 species
UACAGAGGGUGCAAGCGUUAAUCGGAAUUACUGGGCGUAAAGCGCGCGUAGGUGGUUCGUUAAGUUGGAUGUGAAAGCCCCGGGCUCAACCUGGGAACUGCAUCCAAAACUGGCGAGCUAGAGUACGGUAGAGGGUGGUGGAAUUUCCUGUGUAGCGGUGAAAUGCGUAGAUAUAGGAAGGAACACCAGUGGCGAAGGCGACCACCUGGACUGAUACUGACACUGAGGUGCGAAAGCGUGGGGAGCAAACAGG